AUCCAACUGACGAGUCCCGAAUAGGACGAAACAUGCGUUCUAGAU
rnacentral:hammerhead_ribozyme from 1 species